AAGGAAUGUGUGUCACUUUCAAACCAACAUAAACACGAAAAAUCGUAAGUUUAACCAUGGUUAGUUGGGGACUGUCUAUAAAGUGGAAGUGAUGAGGAUUAGGUAAAAACACUAGGUCAGAAAAAGCAUUGCAGCUUCCUCUCUGCUCUCUCUCUGCUCACAGCUGCCAUAUCAGGAGGACACUCAAUCAGCCCUGUGGAAAGGCCCAGGUGGUGGAGGAACUGAGGCCUUUUGCCAACAGCUAGUAAGGAAGUGAAGCAUCUGACCAACAGCCAUGUAAGUGAGGCAUCUUAAAAGCACAUCAAGUUGGGGACUUCCCUGGUGGUCCAGUGGCUAAGACUCCGUGCUCCCAAUGCAGGGGGCCCAGGUUCAAUCUCUGAUCAGGGGACUGGAUCCCACACACUGCAAUUAAGAGUUUGUAUGCCACAGCUAAAACAGAUUCAGCAUGCCACAACUAAAAGACCUCACAUGGUGCAACUUAAAGAAUCCACACGCUUCAACUAAGACCCAGCACAGCCAGAUAAAUAGAUAUUAAAAAAAAAAAAAAGAAAGAAAUCAAGCCUUCAGAUGACUGGAGCUGCAGCCGAAAGCUUUAUUGGAACUGAAUGUGAGUCCCUGAGACAAUAGCAGCCAGCUAAGCCUCUCCCCUGGUGGCUCAGACGAUAAAGUGUCUGUCUACAAUGCGGGAGUCCUGGGUUCGAUCCCUGGUCGGGAAGUUCCCUGGAGAAGGAAGAGGCAACCCACUCCAGUACUCUUGCCUAGAAAAUCCCAUGCACGGAGGAGCCUGGUGUCCAUGGGGUCACAAAGAGUCGGACAUGACUGAGCGACUUCACUUUCACUUUCAAGCCUCUCCCAGAUACCUGACUCUCGGAAAAUUGUGCUUUCCUAUACUGCAGAGGCUGAAAAAAAUAAGGAUUCUAUUUCUCAACAUACCUUGUAGUCAGUCAGAUGUACUUGGGUGAGAUUUAAAAGGCAGAAGUGAGACAAAGGUCAUCCCUCUGCUACUUUGGCUAUUUCUCCUGGCAAGGAAGGCCUUGGAGAUGUGAUCUAUUUCUACUGCAGCAGCCCAGUGAUGUCUCAAGCUUUGCAAACAUUGAGAGGUGGUUGCAUCAGAGUGCAGCGGCGGCAAUGUCCUGAUUAUAGCUUCCAGAUCCCUGGAUCACAGUUGCGACCACUUGUUCUCAAGCCCCAUCAUCAGUGGAGACGUCCAGGUGCCCCACCCUCUCUGUCUAUGGCAGAGGUAGCAGCUCGUCUGAUAGAGCACUUUUAUCGUGUUCUGGAGCUCCAUUGCUGGAGUUUCAGCCCAGAGUGGGUGCUUCUAGACAUUCCAAGUGAUUUUAGGGAAGGUCCUGUAAGGGCAUGGCGAGAAGACAGACAUCUACAAGCCAGGAAGAAAAGUCUCUCCAGAAACCAACCCUGAUGGCACCUUGAUCUUGGAUUUCUAAGCUCCAGGACUGUUAGAAAAUAAAUAUCUGCUGUUUAAGACAUCCAGGCUCCAGGAUUUUAUAACAACAGCCUGAACAGACUAAUGUAAUCUUUCCCACCAAUUCUACUUCUCUUCACCUGACCCCUGCCCCGGUCCUGAUUUUGUUCAGGCCCUUAUCUCCUCCAUAUCAUCUCUGCAUUCUCAAAUGCUGCUAAAAGAAUCCUUCCAAAGAGUAUACUCAAAAAUUGACUAGGGAGAGGAGACACCAGUCCAUAUGUCCUACCAACUUCCCAGAAUCCUUCUUGCUGGAAUCAAUCUCGGCUGAGUAAUGCGUGAGCCACCAGGAAGGACCCUGAAUUAGAAUGAUUGGCCAGAGACAACCUGGAAACUAGCCUUAUUACCAUAAAGCUGAGACUGCGAGCCAUGUGGCAAAGCAGUUCUCCUGGAUUUGCUUACCCUGCUGCUCUCUGCACAGUCACCUCUUCUCAACAAAGACUCUUUGCUUUGUCAGAAAAACAAAAAUAAAAUACAAAAAACCUGACUAGGACACAGGACUAUCUUCUACAGCAGAAAAGACUCAGCUGAACAUGAGACUCCUCUAAACUUGAUUCACCUGACUUUUUAGGUUUGUCUCCUGUCCUCUCACCACAUACCCUAUGCUCCAGCCUCACUGAAAUUCUUAUUAUUGCUCAUUCUGUGCUGUUCUACAGUUCUCCAUUUUCACCUGUACAGUUCCUCCUCCUUAAACUGCCUUUUCCCCUUCCUGAUCACCCCUCCUUCCAUCACCUUCUCAUUCACACUGUCUCACUUUUUCCAUUGGCACAUCUAUUUAUCCCUCAGCCCUGGAUCAAGUGACAUCUACUCCCUGAAGCCUUAGACAGCAUUUUUCACACCCUUCUCUUACAA